rnacentral:lncRNA from 1 species
AAAGUACUGGAUAUAUGUGGUUUCAACUCAAGUCAUUAUAAUGGUCAUAGUUUUAGAAUUGGGGCAGCUACAAGUGCUGGUAAGGCAAAAAUAGAAGAUCACUUGAUAAAAACAUUAGGGCGCUGGACUUCAGAUAGUUACAUCAGAUACAUUAGGGUAACGCCAGCAUCUAUUAAAACAGCUCAAAGUAGGUUAGGUAGAAUUUAAGGGCAUGCUCAUUUUCAAAUAUUCCAUACGCAUGUUUUUUACAGAGAUUCUGGAUGAUAUUGUUUUUGUUUGACAAUUGAUUUUGAUAUUGUGUUAUUAUUAUGUGAUAACUUUUAUUAUUAUUAUUUUUUUUUUUUUUUUUUUCUUUUCAUGGCUUUAUUGAAGGUACCCCCUCCCUUACCUCACAAAUCCUUGGGGACACUCAGCUGUUACCAUCUG